rnacentral:rRNA from 1 species
GACGAACGCUGGCGGCGUGCUUAACACAUGCAAGUCGAACGCUGAAGCUCAGCUUUUGUUGGGUGGAUGAGUGGCGAACGGGUGAGUAACACGUGAGUAACCUGCCCCCUUCUUUGGGAUAACGCCCGGAAACGGGUGCUAAUACUGGAUAUUCACUGGUCUUCGCAUGGGGGUUGGUGGAAAGGGUUUUUCUGGUGGGGGAUGGGCUCGCGGCCUAUCAGCUUGUUGGUGGGGUGAUGGCCUACCAAGGCUUUGACGGGUAGCCGGCCUGAGAGGGUGACCGGUCACAUUGGGGCUGAGAUACGGCCCAGACUCCUACGGGAGGCAGCAGUGGGGAAUAUUGCGCAAUGGGCGCAAGCCUGAUGCAGCGACGCCGCGUGAGGGAUGGAGGCCUUCGGGUUGUGAACCUCUUUCGCUCAUGGUCAAGCCGCAACAAUGGUUGUGGUGAGGGUAGUGGGUAAAGAAGCGCCGGCUAACUACGUG